rnacentral:lncRNA from 1 species
UCUCAGUAUCAUAAUUGAAGUUCCGAAUCAAGUUAAAUGAAAAAAUAGCUUAUGAAUAACAUUAAGUCCAUAACUUCUAGAAUUCAUUGUCAGUGCUAUGGGAAUGACUCUAGAAAAGUUCAGUAAAUAUGGCUUAAACAUAAUAAAUGAAGCGUACAAACAUGCCAAUGAUUUCUUUGAUAUCAGAUAAGGCACAAAUAAUGUUGCCCUAGAACAUAAGUACAUUCCAUCUAAACGUGUGUGUUGACAUACAUGAUACAUGUCAAAUGCUCCCUCGGUCCACAGAAGAACUGCUUUGUUUCUUGCUCUGGCUCAGCUCAUGCGACCAGUCUUGAACUUUGCUGUACAAGUCAGACCAGAGCCUGAGCACUCAUAAAACCAGAGCCUUUUUUAGCUCCUUGGCGUAGUAUAUCUUCACAUUGUCAUAAAGUGGCAUGUGUAAACAUAACAUGAAGCAUCAGGAGGAUAUUAUGAUAGUUCACAAGAAUAUAAGUUAAAUGAGAUGAGCAGGUUUACCUAUGUCCAGCACAACUUGGCUUCUGAAAAUUUUCUCCCACCAAAACACCGGAAAGCAAGUCACUGCUAGAGUAUGGAAUUUGCUUCUUAGAAGCAUUAGAUGUGUGUUCAGAAGCUCAUGCAAAGAAGAGAUCAAUAAGAACCUGGGGAAAAGAAUAGCCUGAGGAAAAGAAGAGCCAUCAAAUGAAUUAUACAAGUAUCUCACUGGAAUUGUUUCUUUUUCUGGCCACAGAAAACAACUCACUCUUGAAUGUCCUACACGAAAUGAAACUAUUUACAAAUAUAACUUCAAGAAGCUAAGCUGCUAAGAUGUAUUGUAAGAGAAUAAAUGACAUAACAGGCGUCCCUCAUAGCUCAAACACAUACGUAAUUCAGAGAUUUCUUCUUCCUCUGAGACAGCAGGAAAGAAAGAAAUACACUAUGUAUUCUUCAUGGAAUAAAAAAUGUCGAAAGCGACUAAGCUCGUUUCAGUUAGUGGGCAUAUGAAGAAUAUCUUUCGGUAAGAAAUAUGUGUUUACAAAAUCAAUUGUAAAAGAAAGUCAUUAUACAGAAAAAUAACAUUCCCUUGAUAACUCCAGAAAUUCAAAAGUUUAUCAGGCAAUUGAGAUCAGUCAUACAGAAUCAAAUGAACUGAUGGUUAAGGAAAACACAAAAAUGGAAGGCGCAAGAAACAAAUCAAAUGGUUUCAUGAGAAAACCUUGGAUAUAUUGCAACACAUGGAAAAAAAUUAGGAGAUUAAGUUCUAAAAACAAUUCUAGUCAUAGGAUAAUUGGGUAGAUUCAGCGAAAAGGAGAAAAAGAAACCAAGAUACUAAACACAUCCACUGCGAAGUAUUGAAGUCUACAGGAAGAGCCAAGAACAUAUAAAUGGUACUGGAUGGUUGCAUGAGAAUCUGAGCAUGUGUAUCCCUGGUUUUAGAAAGCAAAAGUGUGCUACUUAAUGCUACUCUUGUUCACUGUACAUCAACCUAAACUAAACACUUUGACUUGAAAAGGACUUGAAACAUGUCUACUUCAUUUCUGAAUUAGUUAGUCUUUAGUUUAGAUUAGUGAGGUAUCACAGAAAUAUUGUCUUGUGUCAGCAUAAGUUCCAUUGCACAGUAAUUAAGUGAUGUUGGCUAUGUGUUCGUAUUUCAUCUUAAGACUGAAAGUACAGUUGUGUGUCGCUUCAACAGACAUGCUGAAGAGGAAGAUUGUAGUUACCAGUGCUGCCUUGUAGUACUUAUAGAUGUCCUCCAUGUAGUUGACAACAUCUGGUUCAUUGUGGCCAUCGAGCUUGUCGAUAUCAUCCACGUAGGUUCUUGCCAAUAACACGCAGUCAGACUUCAAAUUUGUAAUAAUGGUGUCCUCCCAUAUCGCUGGUUUACAAGGGGAAAAUACAACAAUCUCGCUUCCAUUUCCUAACAAAAAGAGUUGGCCAGAUAAAAUUUCAUAAAUAGUAUCCUUAAAAAAUAGAUAACUAAUUUUAAUUCCACAGGAAAUAAUCCUUGUAGAAUGCAUACAAGCCAUAAUCCAGCCUAUCAUUUUAUAAUAAUGUGUUCAGCAACUUUAGUUGUGCUGUUACUGACACAUGUUUCAAUUGGUGAAUAAGAAACUUAAUGAGACACCUGUUGUUUGAGGAUGAAAGUGUUAUUUCACUCCAUGGAACAAUUGCUUCAAUUCUUUCAAAAUGGAAGCAUACAUCAAAAGGCUUCAGAACACGAGAGGUCAACAUACUCUAAAUCAGUCUGUACAAUUUAAAAUCUACAUUCAGUGUCUACCACCAUGAAAUUGCAGCUAGAAGCCAGCAAGUACGCUACAAUGACUGAGAACUUGAACGAUUGAGGGAUAAUGAAGAAAAUUGUAAAGAACUAACCUCCAGUUGGAAGGGCACGAAGAUGCCAGCUCCUUCUCUGCUAUAUCUUCCUUAAUAUCUAUUCGAGUGACCAUGUAUGUUCCAAAGUUGAAGAUAAAAGAAAUUUAAAAAUAUGCAAAUUGGCACACAUAUCCCUUCCACUGAACAUAUGCAACCCAUAUCUGUAAAAAAAUAGAAAUUUAGUACAUGUUCAUAAAGAAUAAGUAACAACACAUGGUGGUCUCAAUAUCCAGUGUCUCAUGUUGGAUACAUUUUUAAAUAUGUGCAGUUUCACAUCCGAGCAGAACAAAAUUAAUUGACAGAUGUGAUAGCUCUAAAUAGCUAAAAUGGCUCACAAAAUCUUACAAAACAAAAACUAUGAGAUUUUCUUGACAGACUACUAUGUAUAGUUCUCCUGUGAUACAAUCCUGGACCACACAAAUGCCUUGUAUUAAACCUAAAAGGUAAAUGCUCUAAAUAGGAUUGUAGGAGAAAAGAAGAAUAAGUAGAUCCGGG